rnacentral:rRNA from 1 species
CGCGUAGGCGGUUUAUUAAGUUGUAUGUGAAAUCCCAGGGCUUAACCCUGGACUUGCAUACAAAACUGGUAAACUUGAGUGUGGUAGAGGUAAGUGGAAUUCCUAGUGUAGCGGUGGAAUGCGUAGAGAUUAGGAGGAACACCAGUGGCGAAGGCGACUUACUGGGCCAUAACUGACGCUGAGGCGCGAAAGCGUGGGGAGCAAACA